rnacentral:rRNA from 1 species
GACGAACGCUGGCGGCGUGCUUAACACAUGCAAGUCGAACGGAAAGGCCCCUUUGGGGGUCCUCGAGUGGCGCACGGGUGAGUAACACGUGAGUAACCUGCCCUUGACUUCGGGAUAACUUCAGGAAACUGGGGCUAAUACCGGAUAGGAAUCCUUGCUGCAUGGUGGGGGUUGGAAAGCUUCGGCGGUUUUGGAUGGACUCACGGCUUAUCAGCUUGUUGGUGGGGUAGUGGCUUACCAAGGCUUUGACGGGUAGCCGGCCUGAGAGGCGACCGGCCACAUUGGGACUGAGAUACGGCCCAGACUCCUACGGGAGGCAGCAGUGGGGAAUAUUGCACAAUGGGCGGAAGCCUGAUGCAGCAACGCCGCGUGCGGGAUGACGGCCUUCGGGUUGUAAACCGCUUUCAGCAGGGGCGAAGCUUGUGGUGACGGUACCUGCAGAAGAAGCACCGGCUAACUACGUG